CUAGGUGUCGGGGGAAUCGACCCCUCGGUGUCGUAGCCAACGCGUUAAGUGUUCCGCCUGGGGAGUACGCACGCAAGUGUGAAACUCAAAGGAAUUGACGGGGGCCCGCACAAGCGGUGGAGUAUGUGGUUUAAUUCGAUGCAACGCGAAGAACCUUACCAGGGUUUGACAUCCUGCGAAUCUCUUGGAAACAGGAGAGUGCCUUCGGGAACGCAGUGACAGGUGGUGCAUGGCUGUCGUCAGCUCGUGUCGUGAGAUGUUGGGUUAAGUCCCGCAACGAGCGCAACCCACGUCUUUAGUUGCCAGCACUUAGUUGGGCACUCUAGAGAGACUGCCGGUGAUAAACCGGAGGAAGGUGUGGAUGACGUCAAGUCAUCAUGCCCCUUACAUCCUGGGCUACACACGUACUACAAUGCUACGGACAAAGGGCAGCAAGUUCGCGAGGACAAGCAAAUCCCAUAAACCGUGGCUCAGUUCAGAUCGUAGGCUGCAACUCGCCUACGUGAAGGCGGAAUCGCUAGUAAUCGCAGGUCAGCAUACUGCGGUGAAUACGUUCCCGGGCCUU
rnacentral:rRNA from 1 species